AGGGCCCUCCUGCUUCUGGUGCUCAGGGCCCUCCUGCUUCUGGUGCUCAGGGCCCUCCUGCUUCUGGUGCUCAGGGACCCCCUGCUUCUGGUGCUCAGGGCCCUCCUGUGAGGACGCCUUAACUCGCUACUCGUGCGCCUAUCCGGCCUUCGCUGAGAUGGUCAGGUUCAACCGGGCGCACGUGUGACAGGGGCGUAACACGAGGAAGCUAAAGUCCUGUCCUCCCAGCCAGAUAUGUCAGGAGCUUGAGGACGCAGACACCCCGUUAUCCUGUGAGUGCGAUGGCCGCCUUGAUUGACUACAUUCAGCGCAGAGACCAGGAGGGGUUAGCUGCUGUGGCCAGGCCUGCCCCGGCCAGCACCACCCCAGCCAGCACCAUCCGGCCCGAGUGCGGCUACGUAAGUGUAGGGGCCGGACCCUGAUUGGCUACAUAAGUGUAGGGGCCUGACCCUGAUUGGCUACGUAAGUGUAGGGACCGGACCCUGAUUGGCUACGUAAGUGUAGGGGCCGGACCCUGAUUGGCUACAUAAGUGUAGGGGCCUGACCCUGAUUGGCUACGUAAGUGUAGGGACCGGACCCUGAUUGGCUACGUAAGUGUAGGGGCCGGACCCUGAUUGGC